CGUCAGCAGGGGCCGGGAAUACUGCAGUGAUAUGCACGGUUAUUUAAGAACAAUCUUUCUGGUCAUUUGAAUGGUAAAGACAUUCAGAGAAGGAGUCAGGUCCAGUCCACUCUACAAGUUACGUGUGUCCUCCAUGGUGAGCAAGGACUUCUGAAGCGAGAUCAGCAGCGGGAGGGAGAGGGAUCCUUAUGGCUCAAAGUGGGAACAGUGCGGAGGACGGAAAGGCAAACUGAAGUCAGGCCUAGUGACAGGUCCCCCCUACCUUCUGAGAUUUUCUGAAGCCUUGAUAGCAUCUGAGCAAGUUUCUGUUGCCGUUCAGCCAGCUCUCCACGGCCACUGAAAUCUACACGGAAGAGCGCCAUUAUGGAGUCAAUGAUCUGCAUGGUAAAGAUACAAAAUAAAUGAAUGUAGUGAAAGAAAAGGAAGGAAGAAAAGAGGAAAUUAUCCUGAAAGCAUUAAGCUGAUGCAGAAGAGUAAAAUGACCUAAAGGCUCAUACCAAUAGCUUGAAGAUGCCAGCUUCCUCAUGGAACUUGGCUGCUACAUAGUCAAGCAACUCCAUCUGAUGUUCACCUGGUGGAAAGUACAGUUGGACAAUGAAAUUAAGACCCAGAAGGAGCCGAGGCGUGAGGACAAGGAAGAAGAGGAAGACACCAAGGAACUGCUACUAAAGGAGCUGUUCCUGGAGCAGCUUCACAACAUGCAGCAUUGUUUCUGGGCUUGGAAAACCAGCGUCAAUUGCUGGAAAAGGAUUGUUUGGCAGACCUGGGAUGACCUGCCGUGGCAAGAGAAUUUCAGGAUGGGGAAGGCAACCUUUUUUGAAAUAUGAGCUGAACUAGCCCUGGAGCUGCAACAGCAGCUUACCAACAUGCAGCAUCUCAUAUUCAUGGAGAAGCAAGUUGCCACUGACAUCUUGAAGCUGGUCACCCCCAAAUGUUACCAUCUAUAGCCAAUCAAUUUGGUGUAGGGAGAUCUACUGUUGGGGCUAUUGUCAUGCAGGUAUGUGAUGCCCUGAAUAAGGUACUGUUCCACAAGGUUAUAAAGCUUGAUAAUGCUCAGGAGAGUAUUGAUGCCUUUGCUUGUGCCUAUUAUUUGUGUAUCCCCAACACUGCAGGGCUCAGAAUUUAUAAACAAAAAGAGAUAUUCCUCCACGGUGUUCCAAGGGCUGGUUGACCAUGGAGGCAGGUUUACAAACAUAAAAUGCAGAGUCUGGAAGGCUCCACAAUGAUAGUAUCUUUUGGAAUUCAGCUCUAUUUACCUUCAUGAAUAAAGGACUGUUUUCCCCCAGGAUCACUAUGGACAUGAACGGUGUGGAGACUACUCCAAUUAUCCUGGGAGACCUGGUUUAUCCUCUGGUUCCCUGGUUAAUGAAGUCAUUCACAGGCCACGUGGACAGAAGGAGGAAACUGUUUAUCACAUCAGUACAUAGGCUCUGACUCCAUGUGUGCUCCGGGGCUGGAGCACCCACAGAAAAAAAGUGCGGGUGCUCAGCACCCACUGGCAGCACCGCCAAUCAGCUGCUCCCCCUACCCCUCAGUGCCUCCCGCCCAUUGCAGAUCAGCUGUUUAGUGGUGUGCACAAGGAAUGAGGGCGCUCAAGGGAAGGGGUGGAGCAGGGGA